UUUUUACAAGAAUACCACAGAAAUGAGAUUAUGCCCCUCUCUGUUCAUCACAUGGUGGGGGGUGGGCAUCAUAUCACCCCGUAAAAUUGCUACUGAUGUAUCUUUUAUCAAUUGGUUAAGGAGUUGUCUGCCGGGCUUUUCCACUGUAAAUUUAUUAUUUUUCAGUUUCUAAAAAAUAAGUGUUUUGGAGGAGAUCCUUUGAGACCUUUCAAAUAUCUGGCUUCUCCUUAAAUCUUGCCUACUAAUUUUAGCAGGCAUUGGGGGGUUUUGCCUGGAGCAGUUGUUUCUGUGGCUCUCUAAUGGUGCUUUCCCCUGACCCCCAUUCUUUCUACAUUGAUUAGCUAGGGUUCUACCUUAAGGAAGAGGUGACCCCUCUUCCCCAUUUAUUUAUCUGUUCAAUUAUUUAUUUAUGUCAAGACGGAGUCAGGGAUCUUUCUUUCAUUCUUUGGGUUCCAAUCCAGUAUUAUCACAAUUUAUUUUGUUGCUCUGUCUGUUGGAUCAUUGGAAACUCCCUUCAGAUCAGCUCCUGCACCCUUUUGACCUGCCCUGGCAUUUCCUGAGCACUUCUUUACUUUCUGGCAACACAAGAUGUUGCAGACUUAUUUUGUAUUUUCCCUAUUUUCUCUAAGGAGCUCUGGGUUCUUUUAUGAGAGAUUGGUGUUUAGAAACCAAGAUCUGGGCAUUAAGUGUGCUUACUGCUGUGGGAGUACCAUUGUCUUCCCAGUGGAUGGAGCUAGAAAGUGUAUGUGUGUUAUUGAUAUGUAACAUCUAUAUUUCUGUAUUUACCCAUCUGUGUGUGUGAGUAGAUAUGUGCACAUAUAUAUUUACAUAUACAUAUUCCUCUAAAUAUUAAAUCAUGAGCUCAUGCAGAUGCCCUUGAGUCCAACUGAACACCACGGUUUUAUUCAGGACUUCCCCUUUUCUUAAUUGCCAGCUUCUAGCUCUGCAGGGGAAAACCUGGCUGUCUUAUCCAUAGUAUAUUUACUUAUUUGUCCAAUCCUUGUACACACAUAAAGUAGUUUCAGAGUUCCUAAUCCAUACCUCCUUGGAGGGACGCAUUUACUAAUUAGAGUCCAAUAUUAGUACAUGAUUCUUUUUGUCCUUAGCAUUAUAGUUUGUGCCCCAAAGUUGCUUAGAUUAGUUCUUUUCUUCCCCAUCCUCUUCAGGGUGGUUGAGUUACUGGUUUGUAAUAAUACAGUUAGGUUCAUUUGUUACUGCUUGUAUUCUAUUUUGGAUUCCCUCCAUAUCUUGAUUGAUUUAAAAAAUGUAUACUUACUUUCUUGGUGUAUAUGUGGGCAAUAUGUCAAACACUGCUGUGAUUAUUUUUUAAAUAUUUUAUUAAAAUUUUUAAUGUUUAUUUAUAUUUGAGAGUGAGUGACAGAGAGAGAUUGGCAGAGGGGCAGAGAGAGGGAGACACAGCAUCCAAAGCAGGCUCCAGGCUCUGAGCUGUCAGCACAGAGCCCGACAUGGGGCUCAAACCCACGAAAUGUGAGAUCAUGACCUGAGCCGAAGUUGGAUGCUUAACCCACUGAGCCACCUAGGUGCCCCAACACUGCCAUGAUUCUAAAGUAGGAGUAAUAAAGGAAUGUUCACCCAGAGAAGUGUUGCCCUUUCCCUAUUCUUUCCACCACAUUCUCACUCUUUGCAGGUGACUAAUCUCAUUUGUUUCUGGCUUAUCCUUCUUAUAUUUCUUUUGCACAUGUUAGCAGCUUCAUGAGCACCUCUAUGUUUCCCUUUCUUUCUUCCAUGAAUCCACCUUAUUUUUGAUGCAUUUCACAGAAAGUUGCAGCUCUCAGUACAUUUUUACCCUAAACACUUUGGCAUGCCCGUCAUUAACUAGGUUUCAAUUUUUGUCUAUUUUUUUUUCACUUUUAUUUCUCUCAAGGUAAAAUUCACACGCAAUAAAACUCAAGAAUCUUAAGUGUACUGUCGAAUACGUUUUGACAAAUGCAUAUACUUGUGUAAUGCAAACCCCUAACAAAACGUAGAGCAUUCCCAUAACCUCAUAAGUUUCCUGCUCCGGCUCUGAGACAACCGGUAUUCUAAGUUUUUUCUACCAUCGUUUGGUUUGGCCUGUUCUAGGCUUCCUAAAAGUGAAUUAUACAAUGUGUACUCUUCUGCAUGAAGCUUCUUCCACUCUAGCCUGCCUUUGAAAUACAUCCAUGUUGUGUGUCUCUCUAGCUCAUUCCUUUUAUUGUGUUAGCAUUCUGCUGUGUAAACAUACCAGUGUAUGCAGGAUGAACAGUGUAGAUUUUCUGUUGAUGUGGAGUUAGCUUAUUUUCAUCCGAGGCUUCAGAUUCUUCUGGUGUUACAGUGCCGUGCUACACAUCUUUUAAAUUAUUUUAAGUAAUUCAGCUUUAUAUGUUUUGCCUUGUGCACACAUACAUGGUGCUUUCCUUUCAGAAAGCUCAGUGUUAAAAAAACACGAUUAGAUUCUCUCUGUAGAGACAGAUAAAUGUACUUUAAGACAUUUAAUACUGAAAAAUUCAUACAACAAAAACCUAAGUCAGUGACUAUUCUAUUUGAGAGAGAGGCGUGGGGGAGGAGGGGCAGAAAGAGAGAGGGAGAGAGAGAAUCCCAAGCAGUCUCCAUGCUCAACAAGGAGCCCAGUGCGCGGCUCAGUCCUAGACCCUGAGAUCAUGAUCUGCACUGAAAUAGAGUGGGAGACGCUGAACCUGCUGAGCCACCCAGGUGCCCCUCAGUAACUAUUUCUUGAACAUUGGUUAUACGCAAUUCCUGCGUUAGAUCUUUGGGAAUACAGGCACGAGGAAGACAGAGGGCUGUUUAUGGAUGUUUUAGGGCAUUCAAGGUACAUUCGGACGCCACCAGAGACAGGAUUUCCCAAGAAGAACCCCAAUCAUCAUCUCAGUUGUGUGCUCCAAGUCGUGUGAGCAAUGCGGUGCUCCUCCAAACAAGUAGUCCUUGUUGAGAAGCUGCGUCCUGGUUUUUGCAGCUGUCGCGGGGGCUCAGGGUGGUGGAGAGGAAUCGGCCGGAGAGGGGAAGACGGGAACACAACGGAGGCUAACACGAGCCCGGAACUGUGCCGCCAAAGGGGGAUGGCAUCAGGAAGGAAGCAUUUCCGGAGCACGUGGGGCCGGCAUUUCCGGUGCAUGCAGUGCGGCCAUUUCCGGAGUAUUACGUGCCGGCAUUUCCGGCGCACGCGGUGCCGGCUCUCGCCUGUGGCGGCCGCCGCUGGCACCGAGGUGGGAGCCGGGCCCGGUGCUGACCGAGCCGCCAGCCACCGCUCAGGCCUCCGAUGGCACGGCGGGGAGGAGGCAUCUGCAAAAGGCCACAGGCCCCGUCACCCCUUAGCGUGCACGAAGUGAGGCAAAAGGGUGGCUCAAUAAUUUGGCCCAGCACACACCAUGGAAGGCGCUCAGUGAAUGCUAAUUUAAUUGUCUAGGUGGGUCCAUUUAAAAUGUCUCUCUCGCUCUCUUUUUGAAAUCUUAGCAACCUGGAAGAAACUUUUUGGUAUAAAUUCAGUAACUUCUAGACUUGGAAAUGAUAAAUGCUUUUUUAUGUUUUAUUUUUUAAUAAAAACAUGAACUGGAAUGGAAUGACUUCCUUCCAAAACACUUUAAAGAAACAAAUUGUCAUGUGGAAUCUCAUUUUGCAUGAAUCAGAGUACAGUAAAUCUCAAAAUAUCCACUGAACUGCCUGUUGUGGUUUACUAAACAGGAAAAUGAUUUCAGCAGGAUGGUCUUUUCCCCUAGAUCCACAGCAGGCAGCCUUUUGUGCUGUUCUGAAAACAUCUUAAUUCUUCCCCAAGUACCAUGUUUCUUGGAAUUAUUCACCGGAAAUUAAUAGUAUUCUGAGUUUUAAAGUAAUUCAAACCACAAGUGACUUUGUAAUCAUGCUUAGCAGUAGUAUAAAGAGCCAUCGAGCAAGCAGAGGUUAUGACAGUAUUAGUCACAACUGCACAUAGCAUUCCCCCACACAAAGGUGUAUGUUUCUGUCCCGACCGUGUUCACUGGGCUGCCGUACUGGGUAGUGACAACAAACAAAUGAGUAAAAUGUGUUGGAUAAUGUCAAAUGCUACCGGGAAAAAAUUGGGCGAAGGCGGCUCUUAAACAUGCUGGGAUAGAGACCGAGAGCUGUUGAAAUUAUAGAUAAGGUGGCCGGGGAAAGGCGUCACUGGGGAAACGAUAUUUGCAUAAAGGCCUCAACAGUAUAUGAGUCACAUGGACAUCUGAGGAAGAACAUUCCAGGCACGGGAAGAGCGUGUGCAAAGGCCCUGAGGCAGGAGUGUGCCUGAGGGACACAAGAGCAUAGCUGGAAUGUAGUGAAUGAGGGCGAGGGAGUCAUUAGGGACAAGGAUAGAGAGGCACAGGGGCCACAUCAUGAUAGGCCUCACAGUGAGGGCUUUGGUUUUUACUCUGCAGGAUGGCAGAACUCCUGGAAGGUUUUAGGGGAGAAGGGACCUGACCUGAGUUGCAUCUUGGCACCCAAAGCAGAAAGAACGGUUGAGAGGCUCUGCUGAACCCGAGACUGCGGCACAGAAGCUCUUGUGAAAAAGGGAAAGACCGUUUCCCAUGUUUACAGGCAGGCCAGGUCUCUCCAGACGAGGAAGAAGAAGAACAUAGAACUCUUGUUCAGAUAACUGAGCAGUUGGGGAUUCAAUAUGCGAUGUUAUUUUUAGAAGAUAGCAUUGUUUUUAAUGCCCUGCUACUGGUUUCUUGUAUCUUUUAGAGCACACCACGGGGAGACGAUAAGGAAGCAUGACCUUCCAAGUGCAACACCGAAUCAGGAGGCCUUGUUUCCAGUUUGGGUCCCGAUUUUGACCUUGUAACAUCCUAGGGCUGGUUACAUAAGUCUUUCCGAGCUUUAGUUUCCCCAGUGGAGAGCCUAAUUGUUAAUUGCUUUAUGGAAUUAUUUUGUCAAUUACUAACAUGUUAAUAAUCUCUGAGUCUUUGAAAUGGACAUGACACAGAACCGCAGCGGUGGCCAAUUAGUGUCACUGUUAUCGGAAAUACGUGGCGUUUUAGCACUUCAAAAAGGUUCGUGUACAGGAAAAGCUGUGGGCGAUGGGGAGCGACUAGGGUGAAACUGGAAAAAGAUGAGAGGUGAGGAGAAGGACAUUUAAUUUCAGGACCUUUUGAUGUAUUCGGGCAGGGACUUUGCCAUGCUGCUGGAAAGGGGUGGACACUUGGCAGGAUGCAGGACAGAGACAGUGCGUGAAAGAAGAUGUUAUAUGCCAGUCUUACCUUUGCUAUCACGUGGGAGGCUGGGGACUCAUGGAGGGAAGUUGUAUCAGACAUCACUGCUUUGAACUUCCGAAUCACUGCAGAAUGGAAAGUGGUCCUGAAAACAGAAAACCAAAACCCUAUGGAAAUACCAGCCCUGGUUUUCCAAGUUUGAAAUGAUGAAAUCGUGGCUCUACCUGUAAUUCUUCAAAACAAAAACAAAACACCCUCCACUAGUCAAGAAAGAAAUGUGGCGGGACGCCUAGGUGGCUCAGUGGGCUCAGCGUCCGACUCUUGAUUUCGGCUCAGGUCAUGGUCUCACGGUUCGUGCGAUCGAGUGCCACGUAGGACUCCACACCAACAGCACAAAACCUGCUUGGGAUUCUCUCUCUCCCUCCCUCCCUCUUUCUCUGCCCUUCUCCCACUCAUUCUC